GUUGUGCAGAUAAUGUACAGAGCAUGUAUUUGGGAAAAAUCAGUGGCAAUUGCUUCGAGCAAAGCUUGUGACCUGGAAAGGAAAUAUUUCAGGUAUUAUUAGUACAAUUUAUGCUAACAAGAUAGUUGAAGAUAGCACAAGAACAAUGCAAGGAUUAGUGAUCCGCUGAAGGAAAAUGCUACUGAUUGAAUUUGAUGAAUAGAGGACAGAAGUAAACUCGAUCUAUUAUCGUGAGCGAUAAAG